rnacentral:pre_miRNA from 1 species
UUAACUCAAUUUUGUAUGGAGUUGGAUCGUUUGCCUACGUUUGCCACUAGGGGGCGCUGUUCGAACUCCGUACAAAUUUGUGUUA